UACGGAGGGUGCGAGCGUUGUCCGGAAUCACUGGGCGUAAAGGGUGCGUAGGCGGGUCUUUAAGUCAGGGGUGAAAUCCUGGAGCUCAACUCCAGAACUGCCUUUGAUACUGAAGAUCUUGAGUUCGGGAGAGGUGAGUGGAACUGCGAGUGUAGAGGUGAAAUUCGUAGAUAUUCGCAAGAACACCAGUGGCGAAGGCGGCUCACUGGCCCGAUACUGACGCUGAUGCACGAAAGCGUGGGGAGCAAACAGG
rnacentral:rRNA from 1 species